UAUGUGAUCGUCUCUCGCAUAUCAAUAAGCGGAGGAAAAGAAACUAACAAGGAUUCCCCUAGUAACGGCGAGUGAAGCGGGAAGAGCUCAAAUUUGAAAUCUUAAAGGGUUUCCCUUUACGAAUUGUAGUUUAAAGAAGUGUUUUCUGUUGAGGUUUUGGUAAAAGUUCUUUGGAAUAGGACAUCAUAGAGGGUGAGAAUCCCGUAUUUGACCUUUACUUUCAACUUUGUGAUACACUUUCAAAGAGUCGGAUUGUUUGGGAAUGCAGUCCAAAAUGGGUGGUAAAUUUCAUCUAAAGCUAAAUAUUGGCGAGAGACCGAUAGCGAACAAGUACCGUGAGGGAAAGAUGAAAAGAACUUUGAAAAGAGAGUUAAACAGUACGUGAAAUUGUCAAAAGGGAAGCGUUUGACACCAGUGUUGUUUUUCUGAAAAUCAAUUAAAGAACUGUUUAUGCUAAGUUGUUUAGACUUUAUCAGCUAACUGUUUAGUUUUGAGCUUUUCUUUAAUGCACUUUUCAGUUAACAAGUCAACAUCAAUUUCUUUUGCUGAUAAAAAAGCUUGAGGAAGGUGGCUUGAGAUUCGUCUUAAGUGUUUAUAGCCUCUUGCCUAUGCAGUCGGAGAGAUUGAGGUCUGCAGCGUAGAUCCUUCGGGGCUAAAUGCAUUUGUGCUAAGUUGUAGCAUUUUAUAGACAACUUGUUGACUAUGACUUGUCUUGUAGCUUACUCGCUUAUGUUAUUUUACCUACGCUUAGGAUGUUGAGUAGCGACAUACGCAC
rnacentral:rRNA from 1 species